AGCAGCCGCGGUAAUUCCAGCUCCAAUAGCGUAUAUUAAAGUUGUUGCAGUUAAAAAGCUCGUAGUUGAAUUUCGGGGUUCUACCGUUGGUCAGGCUAUUGUCUGUACUGGUGUGUAGAAUUUCUACCUUCUGGGGAACUAUCAUGUUAUUAAUUUAGCGUGGUAGGAAACCAGGACCUUUACCUUGAAAAAAUUAGAGUGUUCAAAGCAGGCUUAUGUCUGAAUACAUUAGCAUGGAAUAAUAAAAUAGGACGGUGGUCCUGUUUUGUUGGUUUCUGAAUCACCGUAAUGAUUAAUAGGGAUAGUUGGGGGCAUUAGUAUUCAAUUGUCAGAGGUGAAAUUCUUGGAUUUAU
rnacentral:rRNA from 1 species